rnacentral:rRNA from 2 species
CUAAACCCUACUCUAGGAGGGCAACAAACCCCCAAGUUCUUCGCUUCCCCCCCGGGCCCGCCUCGCCCAGAGCGCGCCCCGGGCGAGGCGAGAGCACAGAGAGAACGCGAAGAACCUUACCACGGUCUUGAGAUAUCUAUUGCCAAUCUAAGAGAUUAGACGUUCCCUUCGGGGACAUGGAUACAGGUGGUGCAUGGUUGUCGUCAGCUCGUGUCGUGAGAUGUUGGGUUAAGUCCCGCAACGAGCGCAACCCUUAUUAUCAGUUGCCAGCAUUAAGUUGGGCACUCUGGUGAGACUGCCGGUGACAAACCGGAGGAAGGUGGGGAUGACGUCAAAUCAUCAUGCCCCUUAUGACCUGGGCUACACACGUGCUACAAUGGAUGGUACAACGAGUUGCGAACUCGCGAGAGUAAGCUAAUCUCUUAAAGCCAUUCUCAGUUCGGAUUGUAGGCUGCAACUCGCCUACAUGAAGUCGGAAUCGCUAGUAAUCGCGGAUCAGCAUGCCGCGGUGAAUAUGUUCUCGGGUCUUGUACACACCGA